CCUACGGGCGGCUGCAGUGAGGAAUAUUGGUCAAUGGGCGCAGGCCUGAACCAGCCAAGUAGCGUGAAGGAUGACUGCCCUAUGGGUUGUAAACUUCUUUUAUAAAGGAAUAAAGUCGGGUAUGGAUACCCGUUUGCAUGUACUUUAUGAAUAAGGAUCGGCUAACUCCGUGCCAGCAGCCGCGGUAAUACGUAUGGUGCAAGCGUUAUCCGGAUUUACUGGGUGUAAAGGGAGCGUAGAUGGAUGUUUAAGUCAGUUGUGAAAGUUUGCGGCUCAACCGUAAAAUUGCAGUUGAUACUGGAUAUCUUGAGUGCAGUUGAGGCAGGCGGAAUUCGUGGUGUAGCGGUGAAAUGCUUAGAUAACACGAAGAACUCCGAUUGCGAAGGCAGCCUGCUAAGCUGCAACUGACAUUGAGGCUCGAAAG
rnacentral:rRNA from 1 species